ACAAGCUGGUCUUCCUCCUGUCUAGUUUGUUCAAAAAUUCUGCUAUUCCUCUCCCUCCAUACUCCAUGCCAAUACAAGGUAGCACAAAAAACACUCUGCUGCACCUUUUUGUGGAGAUCAUUACCUUUUAGAUUCUUACAUGUCCAUCUCCACUCUUCCUGAGAUCUGUGCACUCUUCUUUGAACACCACACCAUUGAAGAAUUUGUGUCCAUACAUACUUCGAGUGGAUUAACUCGAUUAUACUGGGGUAGCCCUAACUAAGGAAAAGAUAAGGAUCCUGUUCAGAUUAUAUAGAUUUCCUUUGGUUUCAUUCGGGAAGUAGGGGAUAAGGCGGAAUGAAAAAAAGAAUGAUCUUUUGAGUAUUCCAAAUCCCAACGUAAAAGUUCGAGUAAGAGAGGUAUAUAUAUGUGGUAUAUAUCCAUCUAUAUUGAAUUGUGGAUACAUCAAUGAUAGAAUCAUUUUGAUUGGACUAAAUACAAAUACAGGCAUAAGGGCAGUUAAAAAACAAGUGUUUACAAUCUUCUUGAACAGCUCCUCUGCUAGUGCUUGCUCUGUGGGCUGAGUUUCUG
rnacentral:lncRNA from 1 species